GACGAACGCUGGCGGCGUGCUUAACACAUGUAAGUCGAGCGGAAAGGCCACUUCGGUGGUACUCGAGCGGCGAACGGGUAAGUAACACGUGAGUAAUCUGCCCCUGGCCUUGGGAUAGCCACCGGAAACGGUGAUUAAUACCGGAUACGACCACUUCUCGCAUGGGAUGGUGGUGGAAAGUUUUUUCGGCCAGGGAUGUGCUCGCGGCCUAUCAGCUUGAUGGUGAGGUAAUGGCUCACCAUGGCUUCGACGGGUAGCCGGCCUGAGAGGGUGACCGGUCACACUGGGACUGAGACACGGCCCAGACUCCUACGGGAGGCAGCAGUGGGGAAUAUUGGACAAUGGGCGGAAGCCUGAUCCAGCAACGCCGCGUGAGGGAUGACGGCCUUCGGGUUGUAAACCUCUUUCAGCAGGGACGAAGCGCAAGUGACGGUACCUGCAGAAGAAGCACCGGCCAACUACGUGCCAGCCGCCGCAGUAA
rnacentral:rRNA from 1 species